rnacentral:rRNA from 1 species
UCUAGAACUAAUCUAAAGUGAAACCUGCCCAGUGAUUUUCAAAUAAAAAGGGAUAAAAAUCCUUAAAGAAAAUUAAAAGGACGCAGUAAACUGACUGUGAUAAAGUAGCAUAAUCAUUCGCCAUUUAAUUGAUGGAUAGUAUGAAGGGUUAAACGAAUUCCUCAUUGUCUCGGAAAAAGAAUUUAUGAAAAUAAAAUAAUAGUUAAGAUGCUAUUUAAAAUUGUAAGACGAAAAGACCCUAUAGAGCUUAACUAUAACCUUUCUAUAAAAAGAAAGAAUGGUAGUUUAGUUGGGGCGACUGUCUUUUAAAAAAAACAAAGACGAGCAAAAAAUAAAAUAUAUUAUUGUAUAACCAAUAAGUUUAACAAUUACCAAAGUAGGCUAUAAUGACCCGUUAUAAGUUAGUGAAAAAUAUAACGAUUAACAAAUAAAAGCUACCUUAGGGAUAACAGAAUAAUUUUGUUAUAGAGACCUUAUCGAAAACAAAGUUUGUCACCUCUAUGUUGAAUUAAGAUAACCCAAUAAAGCAGAAUUUAUUAAAGGUAGGUCUGUUCGACCUUUAAAAU